ACCUGGUUGAUCCUGCCAGUAGUCAUAUGCUUGCCUUGAAGAUUAAGCCAGUUUUGUCUAAGAAUUUAUCGUGUAAUGAUUGUCUGCGAAUGGCUCCUUAAAACAGUUUUAAUUUACUUGAGAGAAUUUCUAAAUGGAUAACCAUUGGAAACUAUGGCUAAUACAUGCAAGAAGGCUUGACUUUAGGGAAAGGCUGUAUUUAUUAGGUAACCAACCAAAGUGUGGAAUCAUAAUAACUGAAGGAAAUCGCGAAAUCGUAGAAUUGCGAUCCCUCAAACAAGUUCCUGCCCUAUCAGUUAGAUGGUAGUGUAUUGGACUACCAUGACGGUGACGGGUAACGGAGAAUUAGGGUUCGAUUCCGGAGACUUAGGCUGAGAAAAGGCUAAGACUUUGCAAGAAGGCAUACGGCGCGUAAACUUCUCAAUGCCGACUCGGUGAGGAGGUGAAGAGGCAUAUCGGAAAGGGGGGAAUACCUUUCUUUCCGGCAUGGAUCACAACUUAAAAAAUUGGGUGAUAAACAAUUGGAGGGCAAGUCUGGUGCCAGCAGCCGCGGUAAUUCCAGCUCCAAUAGCGUAUACUAAAGUUGCUGCAGUUAAAAUCCUCCUAGUUUACUCUAAGAGACCUUUCAUUGUCGGGUUUUCCGAUGGUUCGGGGCCUCUAUUCCCGUUAACUUGGGGCUUUUUGUCUCAAGAGCAGGGAUUUACCUUGAAAAAAUAAUAUUGCUUAAAGAAGACUAGCGUCUGAAUUUAAGAGCUUGGAAUAAACGAAUGAAUCCGAAUUGAUUCGUUGGUAUAAAUUGGAUAAGGUGAUAGGGACAGACGGGGGCGCUUGUACUUGUCAGGAAGAGGUGAUAUUCUAUAAUCUGGCAAAGACAAACAAAGGCGAAGGCAGGCGCCAAAUAUGUUCUCUUUAACCAAGAGGGAAAGCCUGGGGAUCAAAGGCGAUCGGAAACCGUCGUAGUCCAGGCCCUAAACGAUGCCGACUUGCAAUUGGAGAAGUAACAAUGGCUUCUUCAGGGGCAUAGGAGAAAUCAAAGUCUUCGGGUUCUGGGGGGAGUAUGGUCGCAAGUCUGAAACUUAAAGGAAUUGACGGAAGGGCACACAAGGAGUGGAGCUUCCGACUUAAUUUAAUUCAACUCAGGAAAACUUACCAGGUUCAGAUCUAGCUAGGAUUGACAGACUAAAGCUCUUUCUUGAUUCUAGAAGUGGUGGUGCAUGGCCGCUCUCAGUCCGUGGACUGAUCUCGCUGGUUAAUUCCGAUAACGAGCGAGAUCUUAACCUGCUAACUAGGUCUUCAGAAUGCGUUCUGAUGUGUCUUCCUAGAGGGACUUUGCAUAUUUAGUGUAAGGAGGUUUGAGGCAAUAACAGGUUUGUGAUGCCCUUAGAUGUUCUGGGCUGCACGCGCGCUACAAUGACACUCUCAGCGAGUUUCCUUUCCCGAAAGGGUUGGGUAAUCUUGUUAGUGAAUGUCGUAAUGGGGAUAGAAUAUUGUAAUUAUUGCUCUUAAACGAGGAAUUCCUAGUAAGCGCAAGUCAACAGCUUGCGCUGAUUACGUCCCUGCCCUUUGUACACACCGCCCGUCGCUGCUACCGAUGGGUGAUCCGGUGAAUGAUUUGGACUUUGUCUAUGCUAGCUACUAGCUAUGUCAGGGAAAACUUUGUGGACCUUAUCACUUGGAGGAAGCAGAAGUCGUAACAAGGUUUCCGUAGGUGAACCUGCGGAAGGAUCA
rnacentral:rRNA from 1 species